rnacentral:rRNA from 1 species
CCUACGGGUGGCAGCAGUGAGGAAUAUUGGUCAAUGGGCGCAAGCCUGAACCAGCCAAGUCGCGUGAGGGAUGACGGUCCUAUGGAUUGUAAACCUCUUUUGUCGGGGAGCAAGGCCCGCCACGUGUGGCGGGAAGGAGAGUACCCGAAGAAAAAGCAUCGGCUAACUCCGUGCCAGCAGCCGCGGUAAUACGGAGGAUGCGAGCGUUAUCCGGAUUUAUUGGGUUUAAAGGGUGCGUAGGCGGAUCGUUAAGUCAGUGGUCAAAUUGAGGGGCUCAACCCCUUCCCGCCAUUGAAACUGGCGUUCUUGAGUGGAAGAGAAGUAUGCGGAAUGCGUGGUGUAGCGGUGAAAUGCAUAGAUAUCACGCAGAACCCCGAUUGCGAAGGCAGCAUGCCGGCUUCCGACUGACGCUGAAGCACGAAAGCGUGGGGAUCGAACAGGAUUAGAUACCCUUGUAGUC